ACAUUCCUAGACAUAGAAGCCGUAACUGUGAACGAAGAGCGCAGAUGUAUGCUGCUCUGAGAACACUCACAUUGUAUUAACAUGCGUUAUGAGUGGUGAUUCGUCAGUUAUAUCCUGUGUAUAUUAUUCAGAAUCAUUUAAGUGUGCGUAAUGUCUGAAAACACAGUUCAGGAUAUAUAAUCUCAAUUAGACCGUGCUGUGCUAUUUGCCUUUAUCGUGCGUUAAAGUCCAGUCCGGGUGCUACUGUCUGGCACCCGGUCUAAACCCUCUUUGUUUCCCGAUAGGCUGUUUAAUGCGUAAACGGCCCGAUGUAAACACAGGGGCCAUGCAGCCAAGUGUCAGUGUGUCGUCAUCGGUGCAAGACGCACGUGAGAGAGGAAAACCACAGACAACACACUCAGUCGCGCACGCACACAGCGAUCAGAGAUGGAGCGUGCCUCUAAUAGAGCCCGCUGUGAUGUAGUCUCCAUGGCGACGUUCGUUUCCGCGGUAACCCCUAAUCGCCGUUGCCAUGGCACCACUUGUUUCCACAGUAACCUCGGAGAUGGCUGGGGAGCUUCCCGUGGAAGAUUCACAUCUGAACAGCUGAUCUCCGGUCUGUAAUAAGAUCAUCUUAUUACAGUCAUCUUUGCCAUCGAGCCCCUCAGACGUGCUCGCUCCAGAGCCAGGAGAAAACAAAGAACAACAAAUUGGAGUAAAGGAGGUCUGUUUACAAGUUGCAACCACGAACCUUCCCCUAAACAUCACCGCUACACCAGGAGACAGCGUGUGAGGAAUUAUGAAUGGGACUGGGAUGCACGAUAUCCACGAGUGCGCUACUGCGGGUGCUCACCAGAGGCCGCUGUUGUCCAACUGAUUGAAAUGGUAAAGCUUGUUCUGUUUUUCUGCUCAGAACUCCUGGAGCCCCUGACGACCCCAAUUAGACUACAUCCCAUACAGGGGUGCAAUGAGUCUUCCUGUUGGGCCGGAUUGGCCAAAAUUAAGAGCUGAGACCGAACACGAACUGGAUCUGAUUUUCUUCCCCCAGUCCUCGUCCUCCUGACUCUUCAAACCUUCUAACAAGUGGUGCCUCGCAUUUCUCCUCCUCCAGUGGACCCCCAUUCGAUCCAAAAUGGAAAAAGAAAAAUGCAAUCACAACAACGACAGAUGAAUAACAUAUUCCACUUACAGCUUUGUAGCUGCAGCUUUAUGACUGUUUCUGUUGUUGAGUUGACACAGUGUGAGUGUAACCAUCACCGGAUCAGAAGUGGUUGAGACAGUGACAGAAUUCAGAGGGAAGUGUUACGGACUCUGACGUUUCUCCAAACUGCUUCUGUGGAACAAAUCAAAAAGGACUGCUUCAGGAUAACAGCCAGCAGUUUUGCAAAGCACAUUUGCAUUUCUGGACUUUCUACUUUCUGUUUCCAUGUUUCUGGCACUUGAUGAUCAUUACAGACGAAAACUGUCAAACAGCUUUUGCUUCAAGUCAAAAAGUGGCAAAAAAUGAAGCCAAAUCGUGAUUUGCUGAUAUGAAACUGUGAUACAAAUCAAAGACUGUUAGCCAUAUGCCUUUGUUAGCUCUGUGUGCCCCGUAUAUUGCUAACAUGUGAAAAACAUACUGUACGUGUGCUGGUUGCUGCUACUCCCCUGUCCUACACAUGAAGAACAAAACCAAGGAGUGCACAUACACACACACACGCACACACACACAGACUGGCUGUUUCUUCAAUCCCAGAGUGCACUGGUGUUUUUCUGGGACGGGGCAGAAUGUUUUUAUGGGGAAGGCAGUAUUUGUUCCAUGUUAUUCUGUGCUGUCUUAAACAUGACCCACAUAAAGAGAA